UAGGGAAUCUUCGGCAAUGGACGAAAGUCUGACCGAGCAACGCCGCGUGAGUGAAGAAGGUUUUCGGAUCGUAAAACUCUGUUGUUAGAGAAGAACAAGGACGUUAGUAACUGAACGUCCCCUGACGGUAUCUAACCAGAAAGCCACGGCUAACUACGUGCCAGCAGCCGCGGUAAUACGUAGGUGGCAAGCGUUGUCCGGAUUUAUUGGGCGUAAAGCGAGCGCAGGCGGUUUCUUAAGUCUGAUGUGAAAGCCCCCGGCUCAACCGGGGAGGGUCAUUGGAAACUGGGAGACUUGAGUGCAGAAGAGGAGAGUGGAAUUCCAUGUGUAGCGGUGAAAUGCGUAGAUAUAAGGAGGAACACCAGUAGCGAAGGCGGCGCUCUGGUCUGUAACUGACGCUGAGGCUCGAAAGCGUGGGGAGCAAACAGG
rnacentral:rRNA from 1 species